rnacentral:rRNA from 1 species
AUUGAACGCUGGCGGCAUGCUUUACACAUGCAAGUCGAACGGUAACAGGCCGCAAGGUGCUGACGAGUGGCGAACGGGUGAGUAAUGCAUCGGAACGUGCCCAGUCGUGGGGGAUAACGCAGCGAAAGCUGUGCUAAUACCGCAUACGAUCUAUGGAUGAAAGCGGGGGACCGUAAGGCCUCGCGCGAUUGGAGCGGCCGAUGUCAGAUUAGGUAGUUGGUGGGGUAAAGGCUCACCAAGCCAACGAUCUGUAGCUGGUCUGAGAGGACGACCAGCCACACUGGGACUGAGACACGGCCCAGACUCCUACGGGAGGCAGCAGUGGGGAAUUUUGGACAAUGGGCGCAAGCCUGAUCCAGCAAUGCCGCGUGCAGGAAGAAGGCCUUCGGGUUGUAGACUGCUUUUGUACGGAACGAAAAGGUUUGGGUUAAUACCCUGGGCCGAUGACGGUACCGUAAGAAUAAGCACCGGCUAACUACGUGCCAGCCGCGGUAACAC